UACGGGGGGGGCAAGCGUUGUUCGGAAUUACUGGGCGUAAAGGGCUCGUAGGCGGCCAACUAAGUCAGACGUGAAAUCCCUAGGCUCAACCUAGGAACUGCGUCUGAUACUGGAUGGCUUGAAUCCGGGAGAGGGAUGCAGAAUUCCAGGUGUAGCGGUGAAAUGCGUAGAUAUCUGGAGGAAUACCGGUGGCGAAGGCGGCAUCCUGGACCGGCAUUGACGCUGAGGAGCGAAAGCCAGGGGAGCGAACAGG
rnacentral:rRNA from 1 species